rnacentral:rRNA from 1 species
GACGCGAAGAACCUUACCUACUCUUGACAUCCAUAGAACUUUCCCUAGAUGGAUUGUUGCCUUCCGGAACUCUGAGACAGGGGCUGCAUGGCUGUCGUCAUGUCGUGUUGUGAAAUGUUGGGUUAAGUCCCGCAACGAGCGCGACCCUUAUCCUUUGUUGCCAGCGGUUCGGCCGGAAACUCAAAGGAGACUGCCAGUGAUAAACUGGACGAAGGAGGGGAUGACGUCUAGUCGACGUGGCCCUUACUACUAGAGCUACACACGUGCUACAUGGGCGUAUUGAUCGAGAAGCGACCUCGCGAGAGCAAGCGGACCUCAUAAAGUACGUCGUAGUCCGGAUUGGAGUCUGCAACUCAACUCCAUGAAGUCGGAAUCGCUAGUAAUCGUGCAUAAGAACGCUACCUUGAAUACCUUCCCGGGCCUUGAACAC